UUGGGUAGAGCUACAGCCUCUCCAGCAAACCCAAGUGGCCCCUCUGUUACUUUUUGCAUUUUUAAAAUAUAUUUUGGUACUUAAUCCCUACAGGAAGCACCUAAAAUCAUCCAAUAAUAAUGAAAGUUAAGAAGCUACCCUAUAAAAUGGGAAAGAGUAACGUUAUUGAAAAAAAAGUUGAGUCCCAAAGUUUGAAGUCAUCUUCGUUGAGAUGUUUUCUGGAUAACUGCUAAAGAUUUUGGAGAUAUUUCUUCUUGUUAAAAGAUGUCUUUCUAUUACAUCCACCAUGAAGGCGAGAACAAUUCAAUACUCUACAUAUUAGUAUCCCUUCAAACAUGGACAUUGACAUAUACUUUCUCCCAGCCUUCAAUAAUGUCUUUCCUUAUCCACAUGGAUUGAUGCUUUGAAUAACAAAAUUUGCUUGGUGAUCUUUCCCAAUGGCUCGUCAUCUUUGUAAAACUCCAAAACGUAUUAUUUGAUUCAAAAGAUGUUAAUGAUAUGUUGUAAUUAUGUGGAAAUACUACUAUUAAUCUUAAAAAAUAGAAUCUUAUGUAUAUAAAAAUGGAGAAAUGAACCAAAUUUUCCUAAAACUUGUCAUGAUUAUGGGUUGGUGAAUCAUAGAACGAUCAAUCUAUCCUUAGAAGUUUCUAAUAACUCGCAAUCUACCGUAGACGGAAAGUAUAUAAAAAAUAAAAUAAGCACAAAUAUCUCAAAACUAUUAAAUAUAUCUCAAUUAUAUUAAACAAUAAAUUAUUGUAUAAAGCCAACAAAUUCUAUUAAUGCAUCAAAUACAUAUUUAA
rnacentral:lncRNA from 1 species